rnacentral:rRNA from 1 species
UAGGGAAUCUUCGGCAAUGGGGGCAACCCUGACCGAGCAACGCCGCGUGAGUGAAGAAGAUUUUCGGAUCGUAAAGCUCUGUUGUAAGAGAAGAACGUGUGUGAGAGUGGAAAGUUCACACAGUGACGGUAACUUACCAGAAAGGGACGGCUAACUACGUGUCAG